rnacentral:rRNA from 1 species
GAUGAACGCUAGCUACAGGCUUAACACAUGCAAGUCGAGGGGAAACGACAUCGAAAGCUUGCUUUUGAUGGGCGUCGACCGGCGCACGGGUGAGUAACGCGUAUCCAACCUGCCCACCACUUGGGGAUAACCUUGCGAAAGUAAGACUAAUACCCAAUGACGUCUCUAGAAGACAUCUGAAAGAGAUUAAAGAUUUAUCGGUGAUGGAUGGGGAUGCGUCUGAUUAGCUUGUUGGCGGGGUAACGGCCCACCAAGGCGACGAUCAGUAGGGGUUCCGAGAGGAAGGUCCCCCACAUUGGAACUGAGACACGGUCCAAACUCCUACGGGAGGCAGCAGUGAGGAAUAUUGGUCAAUGGACGAGAGUCUGAACCAGCCAAGUAGCGUGCAGGAUGACGGCCCUAUGGGUUGUAAACUGCUUUUAUAAGGGAAUAAAGUGAGUCUCGUGAGACUUUUUGCAUGUACCUUAUGAAUAAGGACCGGCUAAUUCCGUG